AAGCCCCGGUGGCCGAAUGGUUGGUGCGGCCACCUGGUAGCAUCUUGGCGUGGGGACCCAAGGUGCGUGGGUUCGAAACCCGCAGGGGAACACCAAAUCCGGAGCCACUUUUCAGCUCUUUAAAUAAGGGAAUGUGAACUUGCCAAGUAGGUACCUUCGGGUGGACCUACUACCUGAUUUAGCUGAUUUUUCAUGGGCUGGGAACCUGUAUUGCAUGUACCAAUCCUGUCUCUCAUUUGAUUUUCCUAUGUUCUUACUAGUUAUAUCUUGGCGCGUUUUCAACACCAGCAUUCCUGUAUAACUAACUCUUGCCUGUAUUUAACAUUACACAAGGACUCGUCAUAAGCACUGCUUGCAUAUGAGUAUAACGGAAGAAUAAUAAUAAUAAUAAUAAUAAUAAUAAUAAGAGUAUGUAUAACAAC
rnacentral:sRNA from 1 species